rnacentral:rRNA from 1 species
CCUACGGGAGGCAGCAGUGAGGAAUUUUGCGCAAUGGGGGAAACCCUGACGCAGCGACGCCGCGUGGAGGACGAAGGCCUUCGGGUCGUAAACUCCUGUCAAGCGGGACGAAUGCUCCAGGAAUGAAUAAGUCCUGGGGUUGACGGUACCGCUGGAGGAAGCCCCGGCUAACUCCGUGCCAGCAGCCGCGGUAAUACGGAGGGGGCCAGCGUUGUUCGGAAUUAUUGGGCGUAAAGGGCGCGUAGGCGGCCCAGUCAGUCAGGCGUGAAAUCCCGCGGCUCAACCGCGGAACUGCGCUUGAAACUGCUGGGCUUGAGUCCCGGAGAGGGUGGCGGAAUUCCUAGUGUAGCGGUGAAAUGCGUAGAUAUUAGGAGGAACACCAGUGGCGAAGGCGGCCACCUGGACGGGUACUGACGCUGAGGCGCGAAAGCGUGGGGAGCAAACAGGAUUAGAUACCCUGGUAGUCCACGCUGUAAACGAUGAACACUUGGUGUUGCGGGUAUCGACCCCUGCAGUGCCGAAGCUAACGCAUUAAGUGUUCCGCCUGGGGAGUACGGUCGCAAGGCUGAAACUCAAAUGAAUUGACGG